GGUAGAUAUAACUCAAUAGGUAGAGUGGCUAUUUGUGGUGUAGCCUGUUCUCGGUUCGAAUCCGAGUAUUUACC
rnacentral:tRNA from 1 species